ensembl:lncRNA
CCCUUUCUUAAAGCGGCCGCGCGGGCCCAAGCUCUGCUGGCUGGUUUCCAGAAGUAGUAGGGAUUGCUUCUAGACAGAACAUCCCCCAGCAACCAAACUAGGCCAGUGUGCUUCGAUUCACAGAGCCCCAGCUUUGCCCUUGGCUUGCAUAUCGACCCAUCUGGGCCUCAAGGCUUCGGAAUAGCCCAUUUCACGUUUCAUUUGAUCAUUGGCGAGGUCAGUCAUGGAAACCUACUGCACGGGUGGAUGAGAGGACCAGAAAGCUAAGCCAUAAGGUGUCACUUCAGAUAGAUUCUGCAAGUUAUAAAGUCGUUACAUCUCUGUAGGCAGAGUCCCCACAGCCCGCGGCGAUUGGAAAGAGACUUCUGGAAAGGGGCCAUUGACUCGUGGAAGUGAUAGGACUUGAGAAGACAGAGGCCACGUAGGAAAGGAGAAGAGAAAGAGAAAGAAAAAAGGGAGGAGGAGCGGAGAAACGAAGGGCUGGGAGGUAGAAGGAGAACAGGAGGAGGGACACUAAUUAGAGCACUUCCUAGUGGAGUGAGCUUUUAUGAGGGAGUGUGCACCCUGUCAAUAAGAGGGUUCAGCCCAGGUGCCACAAGUGAACCCCACCACAGUAGAACCAAACAGCUUUCCUCAAAGAAGAUAAGGGAUUACUGCUCAUGCCCCCGUGUCUCACAUCGUGAACCUUGCUGAGGAAUUAACACUUGGUCACCCGGAGACAAAGCCAUCAUCCUCAUUCAGGAAUAGAGUCCCGUUUGGUGUAAGAGAAGAGGCACAGAUCUUCUUUGGGGGUAAUAAUAGUACCUGGCAUUUAUUGGACCCUUUUGUGUGCCACUGAUUGUGUUAAGCAUAUGGCUGAGGAGGAAGAAGAAUGAGUGUUCAUCUGACAGUGCAUCUUAUAGCUGCGGGGAAGAAGGAGGCGGAGGAGGGCUUGCACAAUGAUGGAGCUGACACAUCAGCAUUAAGCUGCUGUUCCCUCAGAGGAAAAGCAAGUUGUCAUGUCCCUGUGCCUGGUCAUGUCAGAAUCCACCCAGCCCACAAAGCUCUUUUGUUUAUGUGAACAUCAUUUCACUCCACAUCACUGGCCCUAGCCACUUUUUUGGUAUAGAAACCCUUGCACAGUGGGUCAUAGAGAUGCCCAGGUUAGGAUCCGUAGACUUCACUUUCUCCUCCUCCUCUCUUCCUUCUCAUCCUCUUAUUCCUCCUCCUCCUUCUCCUCCACUUCUUUCUUAUUUCCACUUCCUUCUCCUUUUCCUACCCCUCCUCCUCUCUCCUUCCGAAACAGUGUCCCACUAUGUCGCUAGGCUUGGAACUGACCCUCCUGCCUCUGCCUUCCCAGCCAGGAUUACAGGCAGCAUAGCAGCCUGCACUCGUCCUUUCAGAAGCCUGUUCUUUUUCCUCUCCUCUUGGGCCAGGAGAAAAGGUCAGCAGUUGCAUCAGAACAGGAGAGAAAGUCUGAAGACUACUUCCAGUUCUGAGGGCUGAGUGUGGUCUUGGUGAAUGAAAGCCGUUUUUGACCCUCUGGGAAUGACUUUACCUCCUGAACUGCAAGAGGGUUUUUCAUACAUAUAAAAAGUCAUGUGCUAAUCCCAGCACUCAGGAGGCAGAGGCAGGUGGACCUCUGUGAGUUCGAGACCAGCCUGGUCUACAAGAGCUAGUUCCAGGACAGCCUCCAAAGCCACAGAGAAACCCUGCCUCGAAACGCCACCCCCCCCCAAAAAAAUCAUAAAGCCCUGUGCUGCCACUCUCUAGGCUCAGUCUCAUCACCUGUCAAAUGUGGGGCUUCUCUUAGACUGUCAUCUCAGGACAUUGGAACUCAGGAGCUCUUUGAGGGUGGGAAUAGGAUUACCCAACUGGAAGCUGGGUGGAUGUAGCAUGACAUCCUAGUUUCCUCUUUUAGUGCAAAGAAACCCCAUCAGCUUUAUAUCUUGGGGGGUUGUAUGAAAGUUUUCUGUGAGAGA